CUAAAUGCAUGAUUCUAAACAAGCCUUUGGUGCUACAACAGGUUAGCAUUGGACAUUGACAUGCAUUGCCUGUUAUUGCAAAAAGCUGCAGGGUCUUGAUGCCUUAGUUUAUUAAUUGAUGCACAGUGCUGCUACUAUCAUGAACAUGCUGCACUUGGUGCAAAUGAAUGGUUGUGAUGAAUGCUAUACCAUAGGUUAUUAAAAUUGCAUUGGAUGAUUAUUGAUGGUAUGGAUGUCUUGGCAUACCUUUUAUGGUUUUGGAAAAGAUAACCUUGUUUGAUAUCAUGCUCUAAAUGUGACCAUUUGAAUGCUUGGGAUUGUUUUGAAAUACUAUGAAUGGCAUGAGUUUUAGGAUUGUGAUGAAUUGACCUUAAUUGCUUGGAAUGACUUGAAAUGACUUAGACCUUAUUUCCUGUUGUGUAAAGACUCAUGUUCCUUUGAUUGUUUUGCCUGUAUUGUACUGACAUGAAGUUAUUUGGUGGAGGAGUAUGUUUACUGCUGGGCUAGGUCACGAUGCACUUCUGGUUCAAGUUUAGUCCUACUUGCAAGUUUGUUACAACUCCCAGCUUGCACUUCUAUAGCAUGGCAUAUUACAUGAAAUGUUGGAGUAGUAGCUGGUCUGCACUUGGUUUAGGAUUGCUAUCAGGUCGAUGCUAAAGAGUAACAUGAUUAAUUGGUGAAUGAGAUGGUGUAAUGGAGAAUGAUGAUGAGGUUUACAGAGGCAACACUGUCUGGUUUGGUCAGAACCAUAGGCUAUGUAGUUAGGAUCAAAGUAUUUCCAUUUGGUCAUUAGUGUAACACCUCAAAAUUUGCUCUCCUCUUCUUGGGACUAGUUUGGCAUAUUGCAUUUCAUAUUUUAGAGCAUUAGGCAUUGCAUUUUGCAUAUCAUCUGAAAAUAAGAAAGUCAUCCUCCAAAGUCUUUCAGAAGAUGGAGAAGUUACACAUUUCAUAUUUUAGAGCAUUAGGCAUUGCAUUUUGCAUAUCAUCUGAAAAUAAGAAAGUCAUCCUCCAAAGUCUUUCAGAAGAUGGAGAAGUUACAUGAUUCAAGCCUGAGGGUCUCUAUGGAUUGGUGAUCAACCAUCUGAGGGUUUGCACUUCAAUUAGGGGUUCCUGAUCCUUAAAAGGUCUUGAGAAUUAUCUUAUUUUACCAUCAUCAUGGUUCUAUCAUCAUCCAGGGUUUCAUUGCUCAUUCUCAAGUUCCUUUGGAUUAGGGUUUGACCUCUGGUCAACCCUAAUCAAUGUCAUUCUUCCAACUAGGGUUGCUCAAGGAGAUGAGGUAUUUUAUGGGGAUGAAGAUUACAUGAUUGUUAUGAAGAGCUUACAUGAGCUAGGGUUUCAUUUUUUAGCCAUUUCAUCAAGUGGUAGAGGCUCAAGCUGAUUAGAGCAUUUCAAGGUCAUCUGAGGACCAAAAACGUCAACUGUGCAGUCAACUGAGGGCUAUGAGGUGGGGAAAUGAGUUGAGACACCUCAAUCAUGUUCAGAAGAGGUUCAUUUGUCAGUUUAAACAUCUAUCUUGAAGAUUUUGAAGUCAUGGCAAAAGUUUCCAAAAAUGGAAAGUCACGUGUAAUUUCAAAUUUUCAAAAAUGGCAAGUUUUUGGUCCACAUUCAACUUGACUUAUCAACAUCAAAGAAGUUUCAAAUGGAUUUUUGGUGAACAUGAAAGUUGUAAAUCUUUGUCUCCCCUUUCCAAAAAGUCCAAUUUCAUGUCCAUAUGAUGAAUGGUUGAGAAGUUAUGGCCAAAUGAUCCCAAGGUGUGCAUGGAAGUUCAAAGUGACAUAACUUUUGAUUCUUGCAUUUCCCUUUGAUUCAAAACUCCAAUUUGGUCCACUCUUUCAGAUCUAGAAUUUUCCAUUUUCCCUCCAUUUUUCUCUCUCUUCGAUUCUUGCAUUUCUUCACACAAACUCCAAAUCUCUUUGCAUAUUCAUGAUCCUUGUGCAAUUCUAAGCAAGAUUCAUCUCCAAUGAAGCAAUUCAAAUCCAUAUUUCAAGCUACACAAGUACAUGAGCAUGGAAAUGGAAGCUUGAAAUUGAACAAGAUCUGAGAGAUUUCAACCGUGCAUUUUGGCUUAAAGCUUCAUAGGAGGAUUAUUGGAGAAGAUCUAGAGAUUGAGAGCAAUUGAGACAGCGUACAGUCACUGCCAUUUCAAGUAGGUGAAAAUUUCGUCCUCUUCUUUUUCUAUUUUCUUGCCAUAAUUGUGUAGAUCUCCUUGUGUAGAGAGUGCUGAUAUGUUUAGUUUUGAAAAUGGAUGAAAAAUGAGCUUGAUAUGUUGAAUUAAAGUUUUGAGAUCCAAAAUGUUUUUGCUCGAUCCGUGCGAUACAUGAGGUUUUAGGAUGUUUUGAAUGCAUAUUCGUGAUCUACGUGAGAAGAGCUUUCGAUUGGUGUAUGGCUCGAUGAAAUAUGGAAAAAUUUGUCGAAUCUCCGCCAGAAUUCCACCGGAGAAGACGACCGGAACUACUGUUCCGGCGUCUGACUGUGCGCUAGGGUUCGUGUGAUGUGGCUGCCUCGUGUGUGCCUGCUUGUCCAAACGAUUGGUCCAUUUUGCUUUGACCUAGCCAUGUGUCCAUUGACCUGCUGCGUGGCUGCUGAGUCACUUAAGUGAAACGCAGCUUUCACAUGCGCCAUUGAUCCUUAAUGCGUGUGUUCGAUUCUCUGUUUGUGCAUAAUGCUGAUUUAAUUCAAAUUUUGUUUUCCCUCCAUUAUUUCCAUGCAUAUUUCAUUUUAUUUGCUUAUCUUUAAAAAAUCAUAAAAAAUAGUAGAAUAAUCCAAAUUGAGUCCAAUUUUUUUUCAUGAUUUUGUUUUGAUCUCUAGUUUUUUAUAGCAUUUAUUUCAUGAUUUGUUUGUUGCUGGAUUUUUAAUUGUGAAUUUUUGAUUGAACUUUAUGCCAAAUUGAUAUGCUACAUUCAUUGCUUUGUGAAAUGCUCAUCUUUGAUCCAAUUGAUCUGAAUUUUGCAUGCUUGAUCCUCACAUGUGAUAUGAUUUUUGAGAANUUGAACCUAGUCUUUGUACUAGUGUUUUGUACAUAAGCUAAUUGUGCUUUGUGUUUCAGGUUUGGACAUUUAACAUUGAUGGUUGAUUUGUUCUCACUUUGUGAGAUACAAAUGCCUUUGAGUACUAACUCUUGUUGUUUUGUAGGUUCUAAUUGAUGCUCAUGAGUUCACUUGAGUGCUUGAGCAUUGUUCAUUGAGUUGUAAAUAUUGGAAAGUUCCACUGUUUGUCUGUUGGUUUUCUGAUUGAGAUAUUAACUGUUUAAGCUUUUGUACAGGUACAUUAGUUGCUAGCUUUGCUUUUGCUUAAGCUUUGGAGUGUGGUUGAUACACCACUGAGGUAGUUUAGCCUUCUUACUCCAUGUAGUCUGGAAGUCCUGUCACCUUUUUGGCUGAAGUCCUCCUUAUGAGGCUCUGAUUGUGUUUGUUCACAUUUGUGCCAAAGACCUCCAUGAUGAGGCAUGUUACUUGAUAAGUCCUCCUAAGUGAAGAGGCAAUUGACAGAUAGAAGGGAUUAGUAGCCAAUCCCCUGUUAUUCGGUGAGUCGUUCUUUACGCUCGCACUACGUGCUGAUGCUCUAGAACAUGUACCCAAGAUCUUUGUAUAGAGUCAGUCAAGUGGAAUAGGGUCCCUCUUUCUGGAUCCCCACGCUUUCUUUAUCAUGAGCUCACCCAGGCCAGGGUUAAGAGCAUGAGGUCUCAUCCUCAUUACCAUUUUAAUCUGCUCACCCUAACUCUCAAUGUUAGUGGUUAAGAGCUACAGAUCACCCAUUACAGAUUGGCUUGUUUGUCGAGGUUGAUAUGACCCCUCUUGACUAAAGCCUACCCAUUGUUUGGGCCUCUUGUUUGUAUAUAGUGAGUGAUGCUUGUUCACUUAUGUUAGUGUGUUUAUCUAUUUUCCUCUUCUCAUCUCCAUUUCUGUAGGAGUUGUUUGAUUGACUUCUGAGGAAGCAGGAUGCAUGUUAGAGACCUCAACUUAGGGAUUAUUGUUUGCAUGACAACUAUUAGGCUCGAGUCAGUCUCCCUAUUAGUUUGUUGUUUCCCUGGUCUCUAGUUAGGAGAGUGUUAUACCUCUGUUCAGGGGAACUACGUCGCCCUGAUUCUCAUACCAAAUGAGAUACGUAGGCAGGAGAUCGAGCGAGAUCUCUCCGGGCACCCUUUUGUUUUUUGAGUGUGUUCAACCUUUUCUUUUUCUUUUGUUGUUUUGUGUGUGUUCACCCUUUGUUUGUCUUCUUUGGUAUGUGUUCAACCUUUUCUUUUUCUUUUGUUGUUUUGUGUGUGUUCACCCUUUGUUUGUCUUCUUUGGUGUGAGUACUUGUUUGUUCAGCGUGGACGUGUGUGGUAUGUUUAUACCUUAUGAGGUCCAUAUAUUGACAUUCUGUUUCCUUUUGAGUGUUCCUUUUGACGUCUCAGCGUCUCUUUUCAGUGUUUUGUUUCGGCGUGCGUUAGCCGAGCUACGGGUGCUCUGAUUCUUUCUCUGGAUAGAGAAGAUACGUAGGAAUAGGAUGCGAUGUCCUAGCAAGCAUGUCUCCCUUUUCCCCGAACUACGUUGACUCUGAUGUUUGUUUCUGACAAACUACGUAGGCCCAGGAUGCGGCAUCCUGCCGAGUCCCCUUCCUCCAUCUUCUUUCACCUGUUUUAUCAUUCCAAUUUGUGCAAUUUCUUUGAGCAGUUUAUUAGCAACCUUAUUCUAUUCUUUUCCUAUUCUUUUGAGCGUGAAUCCCGUCGAGUACGACAGACGUGAGGGGUGUUAAUACCUUCCCCUUGCGUAACCGACUCCCGUACCUUGCAAUCUCUGGUCGUAAGACCGUUCCUUUCCCUUUCUUAGGUUAGUCAUGCGCUUAGUUUCCGUCAUAGGAUGAAUAGCGUCGGUGGCGGCUCUGUAAACUGUUUUUUUCCGCCGGUUGUUUUUCGCGUUGCAACAGCUGGCGACUCUGCUGGGGAUAGAAGUUGACCUCUUGCUGGUCCAUCUUCCCUAAGCGAGUCAAUCCUAGCGCUCUCUAGCGUAGUUUUUAGAGUAGUUUGGGUUGCUUUUACUGCUUAUUUAUUGCAUUUGUGAUUAUUAUACUGUGAUUGUAUAUAUUUGCAUACUAGCGUAGUUUUUAGAGUAGUUUGGGUUGCUUUUACUGCUUAUUUAUUGCAUUUGUGAUUAUUAUACUGUGAUUGUAUAUAUUUGCAUAUAUGUUUGCAUGCAUCAUAUUAUCACUGUGCUGGAUUUUGGACAGGUGUGGUCCCUAUGAUUUGGGAUGGGUGUUCUGAGUGGGGCUAAAACCCAAAGCCCGAGUAUACACCUAGGAUUAGCGUGGUCUCAUGUUGCCUCUGAUGUUAGGUCAACAUGUUUUUGGCGACGUGACAUACCACAACCGUACGAGGUUCUUUUGAGAGAGCUUUUCCUUGUGGAGUAUCCACUAUGGUUGAGUUAUCUCUUUUGAGCUGUUGACUUCGGUGACCGUUCUUUCCCGGAUAUUUGGUUUAGAUGAUCUUAUGCGAGCUGCAACGGCACACCCGAAAGGGCAAACCCGUUGAGUAUCUUUUCCAAUUGUCGAGACCAUUAUCCGCCUUAGGAUGACCUUAUUAGAAUUUACCUGUGAGGGGAGGGUUUGAUUCUUGUAGAUACAGGUUCUGUUGGUGACUCUUUGAUGGUGACUAAUGGUUCAGUUCUUGAUCUGGGUCCUAUUUAUGAGUUGGAUUUGUGGAUUUAUUUUCUGACACACCGGAGUUCCAUCCGUGGUAUUUAUCAGCGGGUUCCGUUUAUUUCGGAUCCCCAGGUUGAAUUUGGGGUUGCUUGUCCAGAUGGUCAGUGAUUUACUUGUGAUGAUGGUGAUGUAUCCUCCGUUCCGUUUAUUUUAGAACUCCCGAGUUGGAUUUAUGGUUACCUAAUCCCUCAGAUGGUUGUGAUCAGUUCAGAGACUGGAAUCCAGUAUAGUUGAUGUUCAGAUGACUUGGAGGAUGGCACUAUGCAUUGCAUUCAUGCAUCUGCAUCAUUCCCAUUUUGCAUUUAUCCGCAUCUAACUCAUGUUUAUCCAUAUGCAGGGUACAAACUUGGAGGAUGGCACUAUGCAUUGCAUUCAUGCAUCUGCAUCAUUCCCAUUUUGCAUUUAUCCGCAUCUAACUCAUGUUUAUCCAUAUGCAGGGUACAUUCUUGAUUGAGAUCCUGGUUGAGAGACUUCCUUGUUCCAGAUAUGAGGGCCGGUCUAAAAGAUGAUGUUGUCUACAGUUUCUUCGAUCCAGAGAUUGGUGUGCUGAAAGAUAUGAUAGCAUUGAUUACACCUGACCAUGUGGGGAUGUUCCGUGAGGCUUAUGGUGGUAUUCUGAAGAUGGUUUUCAGGCUCACAGAUGAGGAUAGGAGUGUCAUCCAUACCUUUCUCCAGUUUUAUGAUCCUGGUUUGAGAUGUUUCGUCUUCCUGGAUUACUUGUUGGGACCUUUGAUGUAGGACUAUGCCGGUAUCCUGGGUAUUCAGGUCAGAAACCAGAUUCCUUUCUACGCCACUAAGGAAGAACCUAAUAUUGCUGAGAUUUCUCGUGCUCUUUAUUUGAGCCAGGAAGUGACUAAGAGAGGUUUGAAGGAGAAAGGAAAGUUGCCCGGUUUUCAUUUGAGUUUUUUGGAGGCUAAAGUCAAGGAGCAUGCUGUUUUGGAUGAUUGGAAGACUGUUUGUGCUCUGCUUGCUGUGAGCGUUUAUGGAAUCAUCUUGUUCCCUAAUCAGAAGAACUUUGUAGACGUUAAUGUCAUCCGGGUGUUUGCUCAGAGGAAUCCCAUUCCUACCUUGGUGGGGGAUGUUUAUUACUCGGUCCAUAAUCGGAACGAGAAGCGGCGUGGAGGAUUGAUUAGAUGUUGUGCUCAAUUGUUAUAUAAGUGGUUCAUGGGAUACUUGCCGUCCAGAGGUGCCUUUGGCUUUCUUGACCAUACUGUAAAGUGGGCAACCAAGUUGAUGGGUUUGCGAGCCAAAGACAUAGCUUGGACUCACAGUGGUGCGGCUGGACGAGAUUUCAUUUGCAGUUGUAGGAGUUUUCCCAAUGUGCCUCUUAUAGGAGUUCAAGGUUGUAUUAAUUACAACCCGGUUCUUCUUAAGAGACAAAUGGGAUUUGCUAUGGAGGGUCCUCCCCUCGAGUGUGAGAUUCAGGAGACUUUCUACUUCCCGGUUGAGGGUGUUCAGUCAUCAUUGAGGCAAGUGUAGUAGGCAUGGCGCGACAUUCAAAAGAAAGGCAAGGUUCCUUUUGGCAGAAUUAAUAACAGGUCUUUUCCCCCGUUUGAUGAUUGGCUCAGAAAGAGGGUUGAGCUCACUCGUCUACCAUUUCUUGUGGGUAAUCUUUGGUACCUGUUGAUUGAGGAGCCACGUUCUUCUGUCAGUAUGAAAGAGUUCCUUGAGAUGAAAAGGGAGAGAGACCAACUGCAAGCAGAGAAAACUGAGUUGGAAAUGAGUGUUGCUAGAAUUCAAAUGGCUAAUCAGGAAGUCAAAGGGAAAGCAGAAGACCAGGCUAAGAGACAUGCUCUAGAGGCGAAACGUUUUGAGAUAGACACCGCCUAUUACUGUAAGAUCAGCCAAGCGUUAGAGUCAUCUACGAAGGAGCAUGACAUUACCAAGGAGAAGUUGGCUAGAGCUUUGAAGGUCAUUGAAGAUGAAAAGAAGAGACAAAUCCUUGUGAAGACCCAAAGGAAAGCUAGAGCCAAAGCCCUCACCACCGAGUGGGAAGCAAAGUUGAAGGUUAAGGGAGAAGAGCAAGCAAAGAUUAUGGCCGAGAGAGAUCAUUAUAUUGCUGAGAGGGAUCAUUAUUUCCGCCAGAUGAAGAUUCAUCAGAAAGAGGUGGGAAGACUUCAGCAGGAGAAUACUGAGCUCAGGUUCGCUAUGAAGUUUACCAAGAUGGUUGAUGAUGCAGAGCCUUCUGUGGGACCUUCUUUAGUUUAGACUUUUGUCGCAGUUAUUAUCAUGUGUUGGAUUACCGUCAGGCAUGUUGACGGAAUUCACUUGCUUGUAUUUCUUUUCGAUUCUGGAGAAUUGUAUUGUUGGUUUGUAUAAAACGUGAUGUAUGGUUCUCGCACGUGGAGUGCACUUUUGAUAUACAGUGGUUAUUGUCAUCCAAUGAUUGAUCUUCAAGCUUUAUUUGCUUUUCUGUAUACACUCACAUAACACACACAUGGUCGGGUGAUAUUUUUGCUAAGUCAUAACUCUCUGCUCUGUAUGGUAAAACCGGAUGAUUGACGUCAGAAUGUUGCCGUCGGAUUAUUAUCCGUCUCGAUGAAACCAGGAUCAAAAGACAGAGUGUUCCUCAUAUGGAUAGACAUUGCAUUCAUGUAUGAAUCAUAAUAACUUGUCUUCUAUUUUGCAGGUGUCGGUUUCUAACGUGUUUGAUUGUUUCAGGAAUCAUUGCUCGCGCACGCAGGAUCAUUCCUUUGCACGUAGCACGUCCGCACAGAUACCCUACCAGACGCAACAAACCUAAACUGAUGGAUCCACCCAACGCUGACAUUCUCGAGCUGAAAGAGAAGAUGGGAGAUUUGAUCAACGUCAUGCAAGGGUUCUCCUUGGGGCAGAAAGCACUGGUUGAGAAAGUGGAGAAGCUUGAGCGGGCUUUGGUCGCCAAUAGUGGCAAUAAUCAAGAGGGCAUCUCCAAAAAUGGUCUUGGUGGUUCUAGGGAUGGUGGUGACCUCAGAAGGAAGGCAACUAUUGCUGGUGUAGUCAUCAACAAUGGUGGUGGUUUUGGUUUCGCUGCGGGCGGUGGGCCAGGUCCUGUGAAGGAUAAUCAGUUUCCUCCUUUCUUUGGGGAUGUGGAGGAUAAAGAAGAAGAUCAAUUCUCUGUGCUGAAUGAGCAAUUUGGUCAGUACGGUGUUCAACCACCAAACAAAGAAAUUCAGGUACUGGCAGAGAAGAUCUGGGCUCUGGAAAGCCAUACCUCUCCUGGGGCUAUCAAUAUGACAAACAUGGGGCUAGUUAAGGGGAUUGUGAUCCCACAAAAGUUUAAAGCGCCCACGUUUGAUAUGUACAAUGGGAGUUCUUGCCUGGAAACUCAUCUUCAGGCCUUUUUCCGAAAGAUAUCUGCCUACACUAUGGAUCAGAAGCUCUGGAUGUACUUCUUCCAGGAUAGCUUAUCUGGUGGGUCUCUUGAGUGGUAUACCAAGUUGAGAUCAUCAGAUAUAAAGAGCUGGCAGGAUUUGGGAGAUGCUUUCUUUAAACAGUACCAAUUCAAUGCUGACAUGGCUCCUAGCCGUACCCAGUUGCAGGGUAUGUCUCAGAAGCCGAAUGAAGGGUUUAAAGAGUAUGCACAAAGAUGGAGAGAGUUGGCUGCCAGAGUUCAACCACCGUUGGUAGAUCGGGAGAUGUCUGAUCUGUUCAUGGGUACCCUUCAGGGGACUUUUGCUGAGAGGAUGAUGGGUUGUCCCGUCACUGGUUUUGCAGAUAUAGUGGUGGCAGGCGAGAGAAUUGAAAGUUGGCUGAAAAUGGGGAAGAUACAGGGAAAUGCUUCAUCGUCUGGAUCGGAGAAGCCCUUUGGUAACGGUCAACGUAAGAAGGAGGGUGACACGAGUGCUGUGUAUGCCCAGAGAGGACAUGGUAGGGAUCGUUACUACCAGCAUACUGCUGCAGUAACCAUUCCUGCUGAUAAUCAAUCCGCACAACAGCAACAGCAACAGCAGCGGCAGCCAUUUCAGCAGAGAACACAGCGGGCCGGGUAUCAAGUAAGAGGAAGGAUGACUGAUCGUCAGUUUGAUAGGCCACCCGUGACGUAUUCAUUUCUGCUAAAGAAGUUGAAAGAUCUUGGGUUGGUUCAGCUGAGAACAUUGGCUCUGUUGAGACCAGACCAGAGGUCUGCCAGCUAUGAUGAGAAUCCCAAGUGCGAAUUCCAUUCGGGUGCUCCCGGGCAUAACAUUGAGGGUUGCAAGGCCUUUAAACAUGUUGUUCAGGAUUUGGUGGAUUCUAAAGCCAUCAACUUUGCACCAUCGCCGAACGUUAAUGCUAAUCCCAUGCCAACGCAUGGUCAGAUGGGGGUGAAUGCGAUUUCGGAGGAUAAGAGGAAAGUUGGGGUGAUGAACGUGGACUGGUUGAGGACUCCAAUGGCUGUGGUCAAGAGACAGUUGUUAGAGAAUGGAGUUUUUCCGGACUGUGAUAAUUGUUGUGCUGCUUGCACUGUCGCUACCAAUGGAUGUGUUGUAUUGAGGGAUACAGUGCAGAGAAUGAUGGAUGAGGGAAGUCUCAGGUUUGAGAAAGUUGGUUUGGAGAGGGAGGAUGUUUCCACAAUAACCAUUUACUUUGACACUAUCUACUUGUCAGCGCCGGCAGAUGCGGCUCCGGUUACCAUCACGGUACCGGGACCCAUUCCAUAUGAAAGUGAUGAUGUUGUGCCGUGGGAUUAUGGUGGGGAGGUAUAUUGUAAUGGAGAGAAGCAGGAGGAUCAGGUUGCGGGUGAUACCACCGUUUCAAAGGUGGAUAAUGCCGGACUUAGUGGUUUCACUCGCAGCGGGAGGUUAUUUGCGCCUGACACGUUGAGGAGUGGGGAGGCAGAAAAAGAAAAGAGAAAUAAGGCUGAGGCUUUAGCCAGGGCAAGAGGUAAGCAGGUGGUGAAUGAGGGUACUCCUAGAGCGGCACCAGCGCCUGUUGGGUCGGAAAAUGAGCUUGAUGAUGAAGCCGAGGAGUUUUUAAGGAUCAUCAAGAAAUCUGAGUACAAACUUGUUGACCAUUUGCAGCAGACUCCGUCCAAGAUUUCGAUCUUAUCUUUGCUGCUGAGCUCAGAAGGGCAUAGAGAGGCUUUGUUGAAAAUCUUAAAGAGGGCCUAUGUCCCGCAAGAGAUUACGGUUAAUCAGCUGGAGAUAGUGGUGUCUAAUGUCAAUGCCAUCCAUGGGUUGAGUUUCACUGAUCUCGAUCUUACUGUGGAUGGGCGUAAUCAUAAUAAGGCAUUACACAUUUCGAUGGAGUUUAAAGGAGCAGUGCUUUCGUACGUUCUGGUUGAUAUCGGCUCGUCACUCAAUGUGUUGCCUAAGAAGGCCCUGGCAAAGUUGGAUUGUGAAGGAGUGGUUUUGAGGCCUACUGAAGUGCUUUCGUACGUUCUGGUUGAUAUCGGCUCGUCACUCAAUGUGUUGCCUAAGAAGGCCCUGGCAAAGUUGGAUUGUGAAGGAGUGGUUUUGAGGCCUACUGAUCUGGUGGUUAGAGCGUUUGAUGGCUCUAAGAGGGUUGUGUUUGGGGAAGUUGAACUCCCUGUGAAGAUUGGGCCCGAGGUGUUUAAGUUUGUGUUCUAUGUAAUGGAUAUUCAGCCGGCAUACAGUUGCUUGUUGGGUCGACCAUGGAUACACGCUGCUGGGGCAGUAACUUCGACUUUGCACCAGAAGUUAAAGUAUAUCUUGGACGGACAGGUCGUAACAGUCUGUGGGGAGGAGGAUAUUUUCGUCAGCCAAUUGUCAUCGUUCAAAUAUGUGGAAAUGGACGGUGAAAUAUUUGAAACACCAAGCCAGGCGUUUGAAACCGUUAAGGUGGAGAAUGCCAUUUUUUCCAAGGAAGAGAAAAAUCGUCCAUUUCUUCUUACAAACAGGCCGCGGAAGUGGUGAAAAAUGGAGAGGCCCCAGGUUGGGGAAGGAUGAUAGACGUUGCCGCAAAAGAGGACAGGUUCGGGAUUGGCUAUCAGUCGGGUCAAGGCUCGUCUGGACAGAAUAAAGAACGUCGUCAACCGUUCACGUUCACCAGUGCUGGAAUGCUAGAUCCAGAUCACAUCUGUGCGGUGAGUGAAGAGAUCGACAGUGACUGCGAGCUCGACUCAUGGAUAAAACCGUGCGUACCAGGGAUGGAGAUCCAGAACUGGAAGGCCGAAAAGAUCAUCACUGUCACUCUACGUGAAGAGUAAUAUUUCUGUUUUAAUUCUAUUUGCAUGAAAUCCAUACGUUUUUCCCGAAACGUAAUGGUUCAUUGUAAGGGCCACCUCAUGUGUUUCACUUUGCAACAUUUGCAUCAGUAAUAAACGGUUUUCACAUUAAAAGCGGUGUUCCCUGUUUUUCAUAUUUUUUGCAGUUUAAUAAAAAUAUAAUAAAAAUGGCAAUGUUUGUUUUCAUUUUUCAUCCUUUUAAUUUGCCUCGUCCCGAAUCUAAAGCAAUGCAUGAAUCAACAUUCAUGCAGAUGCGAUCAUUCUCCGGAUCUCAUUGAUAACAAUCCUGUUACACCCUCAUAUGACUUCGACAAUCCGAUCUAUCAUGCCGAAGAAGAAGGCGAAGAAGAUUGUGAACCGCCGGAGGAGUUAGCCAGGUUGUUGAAACAAGAGGAGAAGGUGAUUCAACCGCACGAGGAGCAAGUCGAGAUUGUUAAUCUGGGCACCGAGGAGGUCAGAAAGGAAGUAAAGGUUGGGGCCGCUUUGGAGGUGAAUGUCAAGAGCAGAAUGGUAGCCUUGUUGAAAGAGUAUGUUGAUAUCUUCGCCUGGUCUUAUCAGGAUAUGCCAGGGUUGGAUACCGAUAUCGUUGUACACAAGUUGCCAUUGAGAGAAGAUUAUCCUCCAGCGAAGUAGAAGUUGCGCAGAACUCGACCCGAGAUGGCCAUGAAAAUUAAAGAGGAAGUACAAAAGCAGUUGGAUGCUGGUUUCCUCGUUGUCACUAAUUAUCCGCCUUGGGUCGCGAAUAUUGUGUCGGUGCCGAAGAAGGAUGGAAAGGUGAGGAUGUGUGUGGACUACCGGGAUUUGAACAGAGCUAGCCCGAAAGAUGAUUUCCCAUUACCUCACAUCGAUGUGUUGGUAGAUAAUACAACUCAAUUCUCGGUGUUUUCCUUCAUGGAUGGCUUUUCUGGCUAUAAUCAAAUUAAAAUGUCGCCAGAUGAUAUGGAGAAAACAACGUUCAUCACACCAUGGGGCACUUUUUGUUAUAAGGUGAUGCCAUUCGGUCUCAAGAAUGCCGGUGCCACGUAUCAAAGAGUGAUGGUGACUUUGUUUCAUGAUAUUAUUCAUCAUGAGAUCGAAUGCUAUGUUGAUGACAUGAUAGCAAAGUCCCAGACAGAAGAGGGGCAUUUGGUAGACUUGGCCAAGUUGUUUGACCGGUUGAGACAAUUCAGAUUGAGGUUGAAUCCGAAUAAGUGCACUUUCGGAGUGCGGUCCGGUAAAUUGCUGGGGUUUAUUGUAAGCGAAAAGGGAAUCGAGGUUGAUCCUGCUAAAGUAAAAGCGAUACAAGAGAUGCCUGAACCGAGAACAGAGAAGGAGGUUCGUGGUUUCUUAGGUAGAUUGAACUACAUUUCAUGGUUCAUGUCUCAUCUAACAGCCACGUGCGAACCCAUAUUCAAGUUGUUGAGAAAAGAUCAAACGGUCAGGUGGAAUGAUGAUUGCCAAGCGGCAUUUGAAAAAAUAAAAGAAUAUUUGCAGGAGCCUCCGAUUCUGAUGCACUAACAGCCACGUGCGAACCCAUAUUCAAGUUGUUGAGAAAAGAUCAAACGGUCAGGUGGAAUGAUGAUUGCCAAGCGGCAUUUGAAAAAAUAAAAGAAUAUUUGCAGGAGCCUCCGAUUCUGAUGCCUCCUGUGGAGGGAUGACCGUUAAUUCUGUAUUUGACAGUCCUCGAGGGGUCUAUGGGGUGUGUAAUGGGGCAACAUGACGAGUCUGGUCGAAAAGAGCAUGCAAUUUACUACCUUAGCAAAAGGUUUACCGACUGUGAAACAAGAUAUUCACUGCUCGGGAAAACUUGUUGUGCUUUGGCAUGGGCUGCUCGCCGAUUGAGACAGUAUAUGCUGGUUCAUACCACUUUAUUGAUUUCCAAGAUGGAUCCGAUCAAGUAUAUAUUUGAGAAGCCAGCAUUGACCGGACGGGUUGCGAGAUGGCAAAUGAUUUUGACUGAGUACGAUAUCCAGUAUACUUCUUAGAAAGCGAUAAAGGGGAGUGUAUUGUCUGAUUACCUCGCACAACAACCCAUUGAGGAUUAUCAAUCGAUGAAGUUUGAGUUCCCUGAUGAGGACAUCAUGUUUCUCAAAUCGAAAGAUUGUGAGGAACCUAUCCCGGAGGAGGGGCCUGACCCUGAAUCCGAAUGGAUUCUGAUGUUUGAUGGGGCCGUUAACGUGAAUGGUAGUGGAGUUGGUGCUGUUUUGGUUACGCCGAAAGGAUCCCACAUUCCUUUUGCUGCCCAGCUAACAUUUGAAUGCACCAACAAUGUGGCUGAAUACGAAGCUUGUAUCUUGGGUGUCGAAGAGGCGAUUGAUUUGCGAAUCAAGAACCUUGUCAUCUAUGGAGAUUCAGCUUUGGUUGUGAACCAGGUUAACGGGAAGUGGUAUACGCAUCAAUCUCACUUAAUUCCAUACCGGGAUUAUACGAGGAGAUUGUUGACGUUCUUCACCAAGGUGGAAUUACGCCAUGUGCCGAGAGAAGAAAAUCCUUUGGCCGAUGCUUUGGCUACUCUGGCCGCUUUGAUUAAGGUGCAGUGGUGGAAUCAAUUCCCCAGUGUUGAGGUGGGACGACUGGAUAGACCGGCUUAUGUGUUUGCUGUCGAAACAGCGCCUGAUGAUGAAAAGCCGUGGUAUUAUGACAUCAAGCGGUAUUUGGAGACCCAAGAGUAUCCUGAGGGAGCGCCUAAAAAGGACCGAAAGACUCUGAGGAGGUUGGCCAUGGCAUUCUAUCUGAACAGAGAUGGGGUUUUGUACAAGAGGAAUUUCGAUUGGGUUUUGCUUAGAUGUGUCGAUGACAAAGAAGCAAGCCAAUUGAUGAAAGAAGUGCACGAGGGGUCGUUUGGUACCCAUGCCAGUGGGAAUGCGAUGGUGAAAAAAUUGUUAAGAGCUGGUUAUUACUGGAUGACAAUGGAGGCCCAGUGUUUCAACUUCGUGCGGAAAUGUCAUAAAUGCCAGAUUUAUGCUGACAAGGUGCAUGUGCCUCCAAACCCGUUGAGUUUGAUGUCAUCUCCGUGGCCGUUUGCUAUGUGGGGAAUUGAUAUGAUCGGAAAGAUCGAGCCUACGGCUUCGAAUGGGCACCGGUUCAUAUUAGUGGCUAUUGAUUACUUCACCAAGUGGGUGGAAGCGGCAUCUUAUGCAAACGUGACAAAACAGGUCGUGGCCAGAUUCCUGAAAAGAGACAUCAUUUGCCAAUAUGGGGUUCCCGAAAGAAUCAUUAUUGAUAAUGGUUCUAAUCUCAACAACAAGAUGAUGGCAGAACUGUGUCGGGAGUUCAAGAUCGAGCAUCACAAUUCUUCUCUUUAUCGUCCGAAGAUGAAUGGGGUGGUCGAGGCGGCUAAUAAGAAUAUUAAGAAGAUUGUGCAGAAAAUGGUCGUGACCUAUAAGGAUUGGCACGAGAUGUUGCCGUUUACAUUGCAUGGGUAUCGAACCUCAGUGUGUACGUCUACUGGGGCAACGCCUUUCUCGCUUGUGUAUGGGAUGGAAGCGGUACUACCAGUUGAGGUCCAGAUUCCGUCAUUGAGAAUCCUUAUGGGCGUGAAAUUGGAAGAGGCUGAAUGGGCAAGGACUCGGUAUGAAGAGUUGAGCCUGAUUGAGGAAAAGAGGCUGGCGGCCAUUUGUCAUGGGCUAUUGUACCAGCAGCGAAUGAAGCGUGCUUUUGACCGAAAGGUGCGACCUCGUGUAUACCAUGUGUGAGAUAUGGUGUUGAAAAGGAUCAUUCCUCCUCAGAACGAUCGUCGGGGCAAGUGGACACCCAAUUAUGAAGGUCCAUUCGUGGUCAAGAAGGUUUUCUCUGGCGGAGCCUUGUUGUUGACGACCAUACAGAACGAUCGUCGGGGCAAGUGGACACCCAAUUAUGAAGGUCCAUUCGUGGUCAAGAAGGUUUUCUCUGGCGGAGCCUUGUUGUUGACGACCAUGGAUGGUGAGGAUUUUCCAUCCCCUGUAAAUGUGGACGCAGUUAAAAAAUACUUCGUAUAAGAGACCCGCUGGACGAAAAGAAUAAAAUAGUCCAGGCAAAAAUGGGCAUCCCGGAGAACCAAAAAAAAUGAAUGAAAAAGGUUCGGGCAAAAAUUAGGGAUGAAAAGAGAAAAAAAUGUACACCCGGAAAGUCGAAAACCCCACAAGGGCGGCUUGGGCAAAAAAGGGUAUCCCAAUGGACUGAAAACCCGAAAGGGCGGUCCAGGUAAAAGAGGGAAUUAAACGAAUAACUGCGUCUAGCAUGAUCGUUUACAUUGUGGAUAUGACACAUGGAUAAUCCCCGGCAGAGAUCGGUCGGAAGCGUCUUGUUCAGAAGGCAGAAAGCACGGAGAGUCUUGAGGACAUAUGGGUUGUAACCGGGUUGGAACUCGAUGAGAUCACGGGUUCACAUUGCCAUUAGGAUAGAUUUUCCUUUUGAGCGCAAUUACCUCUUUUCAGGGAUUGCUUCCUGUGUAUUGCUCAGUUACGAGCCAUCUUCUUUUUUUCCAUUCAAUAAAAUGCAUAUUCAGUCAAAUAAUUUUGUUCUUGUUUUCGUUACCGCUUUGAUUGCAAAAACAUCCGUUUAUUUUGAUAAGAAUCUUUGCAUUUUGAGACAUAGGGGUCCCUUCCGAUGCAUGUUUAUAAGAUUGAAAACCUGAAAUCUUAUUCGGAAGGUUGAGUGACCUAGGUGUUGAAAUUUUGGCACGCCUGGGGCACGUUUUAUCUAACGAUCUCUUUUGCAGGUGCUGUUAGAUAUUUUCACUCACUUGCAGGUUGUGAUGUAAAGCUUUUUGACGAAAGAUUCCUUCGAGUCCAAUCAGGGACAAGGAGUUGAGGAAUGGUGUGAAGACGGCGAAAGAAUUGCGAUGAUCCUUGAGGGUUAAUCAAGAAGACUCUUCAAAGUCUGAGGACUGGAGAGUUGGCUCGAAUCUGAGGAGGCCGAUCUUCCUGAAGCAGGGAGAAGUCGAGAAUACAAGGUGAUGAAUCAAGAAGACUCUUCAAAGUAUGAAGAAGUGGAAAGUUGACACUAUGGUUAGAGGGUGAACGCCAGGGUUCGACAAGUUGACAGGUGUUCCGUGUCAAAUAUUCCGUAUCUCCCCAGCAGGUUCGAGAUCGGUAUUUCUUCGGCAGCCAGGCCCGAAGGUUGUUGUUUCCCCUAGCAGGGUCGAGAUUGUUAUUGCCCCAGCAGGUCCGAAGAUUGCCGUUUCCCCAGCGGAGGUGUGCAUUGGUAGCUGUUUCCCCAGCGAAGUCCCCAAGCGGAUCGGGUUCAGUGAAGGUCAUCCUUAGUAAGGGUUGUCCUUUCCCCAGCAGCGGUGUUAUCCCAGGCAAGGUUGGAGAUUGGAGAGAUAUCGAGUUCCUCAGUGGAAUGGCUUGUGUCGUCCCCUAAGGGGGAUAUUUUUUAUACAUUCAUCAUUUAGAAAAGCAUAGCAUAUUGCAUAACUCAUUGCGUAGCAUUUCCAUGGUUAUGGAGCAUUACGUUGUAAAAACUCAUGCAUCAGCAUUGCAAGCAUAAGCUAGUCUCAAGCCGUGGUUACCAUUUGAGAAUUGGUUUAGCUAGUUGGAAGAUGUUACUCUGAGGAGUUUAGCAUCGAGACGUUGGAUCAACAGUACUCCCCAAUAGUGCGAUAUUGGAGGAAAAAUUUCGUCGUGCGGAGAUGGAAGUUGGAAGAUGUUACUCUGAGGAGUUUAGCAUCGAGACGUUGGAUCAACAGUAUUCCCCAGUAGUGCGAUAUUGGAGGAAAAAUUCCGUCGUGCGGAGAUGGAAGUUGGAAGAUGUUACUCUGAGGAGUUUAGCAUCGAGACGUUGGAUCAACAGUAUUCCCCAAUAGUGCGAUAUUGGAGGAAAAAUUCCGUCGUACGAAGAUGGAAGUUGGAAGAUGUUACUCUGAGGAGUUUAGCAUUGUGACGUUGGAUCAACAAUAUUCCCCAGUAGUGCGAUAGUGGAGGAAGAAUUUCCGUCGGGCGAAGAUGGAAAUGAAAAUCGGAGAACGUUACGCGAUCAGCGCGAAAAACGGGGUUCAAAUGGAGAAAAGGAAGUGCUGGGCAUUUUCUGGAGAACGGGGUUCAACUGGAAUUGAAGAUUAUAUCCAGGAUGAGGUCCUCAGGAUUGUCUUCUGAUCAUGUGUCACCUUAGACUUUGGCUGAGGCCAACAGAAGUCGUUAUGGGUGUCUUCUGAGGAAGAAAUGCACAUGUUACCUUCCUUUCGUGAAGGUAUACCCUCUGAUAUGUCGCCGUCAGAGUGGUGGUUGGUGUUAUUUCCGGCGUUGCCAACGGAAUUAUCACAAGAGAACGGAGAACGGGGUUCAAAUGGAGAAAAGGAAACACGGGGUGUUUUCUGGAGAAUGGGGUUCACAACGACGAUCGCGAGUUAUCGUCAGGCGACUGGGGUUCAAAUGGAGAAUGGGGUUCAUUGUUUGGAGGAGAACGGGGUUCAAAUGGAGAAAAGGAAACACGGGGUGUUUUCUGGAGAAUGGGGUUCACAACGACGAUCGCGAGUUAUCGUCAGGCGACUGGGGUUCAAAUGGAGAAUGGGGUUCAUUGUUUGGCAACAAGGGUGACAUGGAGUUGUCGGGGUUCAAAUGCGGCGAUCGGGGAUCACUCACGCAAAAAAUUCUGGGGUUUAAGAAAAGCAAAAAAUCAAAAAGUUCUGGGGUUCAAGAAAAGCUAAAAAAAAAUCAAAGAAGUUUUGGGGUUCAAGAAAAAGCAAAAAAAUAAUAAUAAGUCCCAGCGGAGCGCAAAUUGUUCGUCUGUUCUUGGUAUUCAACCACUUUUCACUCUGAUCAUCUGAAAGCCGAGGCUGUUCAUAUCGACAGGUUCAAAGUGGAUUGAAUAGGGGCAGCUGUAACACCUCAAAAUUUGCCCUCCUCUUCUUGGGACUAGUUUGGCAUAUUGCAUUUCAUAUUUUAGAGCAUUAGGCAUUGCAUUUUGCAUAUCAUCUGAAAAUAAGAAAGUCAUCCUCCAAAGUCUUUCAGAAGAUGGAGAAGUUACAUGAUUCAAGCCUGAGGGUCUCUAUGGAUUGAUGAUCAACCAUCUGAGGGUUUGCACUUCAAUUAGGGUUUCCUGAUCCUUCAAAGGUCUUGAGAAUUAUCUUAUUUUACCAUCAUCAUGGUUCUAUCAUCAUCCAGGGUUUCAUUGCUCAUUCUCAAGUUCCUUUGGAUUAGGGUUUUGACCUCUAGUCAACCCUAAUCAAUGCCAUUCUUCCAACUAGGGUUGCUCAAGGAGAUGAGGUAUUUUAUGGGGAUGAAGAUCACAUGAUUGUUAUGAAUAGAUUACAUGAGCUAGGGUUUCAUUUUUGAGCCAUUUCAUCAAGUGGUAGAGGCUCAAGCUGAUCAGAGCAUUUCAAGGUCAUCUAAGGACCAAAAAAGUCAACUGUGCAGUCAACUGAGGGCUAUGAGGUGGGGAAAUGAGUUGAGACACCUCAAUCAUGUUCAUAAGAGGUUCAUUUGUCAGUUUAAACAUCUAUCUUGAAGAUUUUGAAGUCAUGGCAAAAGUUUCCAAAAAUGGAAAGUGACCUGUAAUUUCAAAUUUUCAAAAAUGGCAAGUUUCUGGUCCACAUUCAACUUGACUUAUCAACAUCAAAGAAGUUUCAAAUGGAUUUUUGGUGAACAUGAAAGUUGUAGAUCUUUGUCUCCCCUUUCCAAAAAGUCCUAUUUCAUGUCCAUAUGAUGAAUGGUUGAGAAGUUAUGGCCAAAUGAUCCCAAGGUGUGCAUGGAAGUUCAAAGUGACAUAACUUUUGAUUCAAAACUCCAAUUUGGUCCACUCUUUUUGCAAAAUACUCCUCAUGACCAAUACUUUUCAAAUGAACCAUUGCCAUGCAUGGAAGAAGUUCAUAUGAUCAUCAUUUCUCACAUGUGUAUUUUGGAGGGAAAUCUCACAAUUCAAAUUUGGUUCAAGCUACAAGCCAAACACCAUUCCAAUCUUGAUUUUUGGUUGACUUUAAGAGAAUUUAAGCCCUUGCAUGGGGCAGCUUCACAUGUUGCAUGGCCAUGAUGGUUCGCUUAUCAUUUUUUGCAAAUGGAUUAAAAACUCACUAAGCAUGAUUAGCAAAUGGUUAAUUUCGAUUUUCAGUGUGAUUAGUGGAUCAUAUAAAUACCAAACCCUAACUGUAUUUGCUCAGAACAUAAUUUCAGAUCUAGAAUUUUCCAUUUUCCCUCCAUUUUUCUCUCUCUUCGAUUCUUGCAUUUCUUCACACAAACUCCAAAUCUCUUUGCAUAUUCAUGAUCCUUGUGCAAUUCUAAGCAAGAUUCAUCAUCCAAUUGAAGCAAUUCAAUCCAUAUUCAAGCUACACAAGUACAUGAGCAUGGAAAUGGAAGCUUGAAAUUGAACAAGAUCUGAGAGAUUUCAACCGUGCAUUUUGGCUUAAAGCUUCAUAGGAGGAUUAUUAAAGAAGAUCUGGAGAUUGAGAGCACUUGAGGACACGCGUACAAUCACUGCCAUUUCAAGUAGGUGAAAAUUUCGUCCUCUUCUUUUGCUAUUUUCUUGCCAUAAUUGUGUAGAUCUCCUUGUGUAGAGAGUGCUGAUAUGUUUAGUUUUGAAAACGGAUGAAAAAUGAGCUUGAUAUGUUGAAUUAAAGUUUUGAGAUCCAAAAUGUUUUUGCUCGAUCCGUGCGAUACAUGAGGUUUUAGGAUGUUUUGAAUGCAUAUUCGUGAUCUACGUGAGAAGAGCUUUCGAUUGGUGUAUGGCUCGAUGAAAUCUGGAAAAAUUUGUCGAAUCUCCGCCAGAAUUCCACCGGAGAAGACGACCGGAACUACUGUUCCGGCGUCUGACUGUGCGCUAGGGUUCGUUGGAUGUGGCUGCCUCGUGUGUGCCUGCUUGUCCAAACGAUUGGUCCAUUUUGCUUUGACCUAGCCAUGUGUCCAUUGACCUGCUGCGUGGCUGCUGAGUCACUUAAGUGAAACGCAGCUUUCACAUGCGCCAUUGAUCCUUAAUGCGUGUGUUCGAUUCUCUGUUUGUGCAUAAUGCUGAUUUAAUUCAAAUUUUGUUUUCCCUCCAUUAUUUCCAUGCAUAUUUCAUUUUAUUUGCUUAUCUUUAAAAAAUCAUAAAAAAUAGUAGAAUAAUCCAAAUUGAGUCCAAUUUUUUUUCAUGAUUUUGUUUUGAUCUCUAGUUUUUUAUAGCAUUUAUUUCAUGAUUUGUUUGUUGCUGGAUUUUUAAUUGUGAAUUUUUGAUUGAACUUUAUGCCAAAUUGAUAUGCUACAUUCAUUGCUUUGUGAAAUGCUCAUCUUUGAUCCAAUUGAUCUGAAUUUUGCAUGCUUGAUCCUCACAUGUGAUAUGAUUUUUGAGAAUUGGUUUGGAAUUUUUAUCAUAUGUUAUCACUGUUUUGGACACAUGGAGAUGUAGUGUGACAAUUGGUGUCACAUUUUUGGUAUUCAAUUUGUGCAUUUUUGUUUACCUAUCAUUUGAGCUCUUCUGGAUUUGAUAUUUUGCACAUUGUUUGUUCAUGACAUGAGUAGCUUGCAUAAAAAAUUUCAUAGCCAUUGGAUGCAUUUCUGUUUUGAUUUGGAUUUUCUAAUUUGAUUGUCCAUUUUGUGCUCAUUUGUUGGUCUUUGCUUUACAUUGAUCAUUUGAUGCCUUUGCCUUAUGAAUUGAUGUUGGUCCUUUUGAGGACAUCUUAUUGCAUGUUUGAACUUGCUUAGUGCAAAAGAUUGAGUUCUGUUUUAAUCAUUUGGUUUGGUUUUGAACCUAGUCUUUGUACUAGUGUUUUGUACAUAAGCUAAUUGUGCUUUGUGUUUCAGGUUUGGACAUUUAGCAUUGAUGGUUGAUUUGUUCUCAGUUUGUGAGAUACAAAUGCCUUUGAGUACUAACUCUUGUUGUUUUGUAGGUUCUAAUUGAUGCUCAUGAGUUCACUUGAGUGCUUGAGCAUUGUUCAUUGAGUUGUAAAUAUUGGAAAGAUCCACUGUUUGUCUGUUGGUUUUCUGAUUGAGAUAUUAACUGUUUAAGCUUUUGUACAGGUACAUUAGUUGCUAGCUUUGCUUUUGCUUAAGCUUUGGAGUGUGGUUGAUACACCACUGAGGUAGUUUAGCCUUCUUACCCAUAAUCGGAAGUCCUCUCACCUUUUUGCUUGAAAUCCUCCUAUGAGGCUGGAUUGUUUGUCACAUUUGCACAAAGAGCUCCAUUGAUAGUCAUUUUACCUUGAUAAGUCCUCCUAAGGAAAGCAAUUGACAGAUAGAAGAUAGACCAAUACCCUUAUUAUUUCAUUGAGUCGUUCUUUACCUCACUACGUCUGCAGCUCGUUAGGAACAUUACCCAAUGAUUCUUUUAUGAUGAGUCAGUCAAGUGGAAUAGGUCCCUCUUUCUGAUCCCCCACGCUUCGUUAUCAUGAGCUCAGCCCAUGCCAGGUUAAGGACUAUGAGGUCUCAUCCUCAUUACCAUUUUAAUCUGCUCACCCUAACUCUCAAUGUUAGUGGUUAAGAGCUACAGAUCACCCAUUACAGAUUGGCUUGUUUGUCGAGGUUGAUAUGACCCCUCUUGACUAAUGCCUGCCCAUUGUUUGGGCCUCUUGUUUGUAUAUAAUGAGUGAUGCUUGUUCACUUAUGUUAGUGUGUUUAUCUGUUUUCCUCUUCUCAUCUCCAUUUCUGUAGGAGUUGUUUGAUUGACUUUUGAGGAAGCAGGAUGCAUGUUAGAGACCUCAACUUAGGGAUUAUUGUUUGCAUGACAACUAUUAGGCUCAAGUCAGUCUCCCUAUUAGUUUGUCGUUUCCCUGGUCUCUAGUUAGGAGAGUGUUAUACCCCUGUUCAGGGGAACUACGUCGCCCUGAUUCUCAUACCAUAUGAGAUACGUAGGCAGGAGAUCGAGCGAGAUCUCUCCGGGCACCCUUUUGUUUUUUGAGUGUGUUCAACCUUUUCUUUUUCUUUUGUUGUUUUGUGUGUGUUCACCCUUUGUUUGUCUUCUUUGGUAUGUGUUCAACCUUUUCUUUUUCUUUUGUUGUUUUGUGUGUGUUCACCCUUUGUUUGUCUUCUUUGGUGUGAGUACUUGUUUGUUCAGCGUGGACGUGUGUGGUAUGUUUAUACCUUAUGAGGUCCAUCUUUGAGAUUCAUAUUGGGGUUCAUUUGUGAUGAUGGUUAUCAUCUUUGGGGGUUCAUUUGUGACGGUUGUCACUCACUUGGGGUUCACUUGUGACGGUUGUCACUCACUCGGGGUUCAUUUUUGAUGAUGGUAAUCAUCUUCGGGGUUCAUUUGUGACGGUUGUCACUCACUUGGGGUUCAUCUUUGGGGUUCAUCUUUGAGUAUUUGAUUGCUUUGUUGUGGUUCGCACGGAGAACCUUUUUCUUUGGUGUUCGCUGGUUAGCGUUUGUUUUAUUGUUUGGAGUUGGAUGUAAGUCCAUGUAUUGGCAUUCUGUUUCCUUUUUCUUGUUAGGAGUCGGAUGUAAGUCCAUGUAUUGGCAUUCUGUUUCCUUGUUUGUGUUGAUGGUUUGGAGUCAGAUAUAAGUCCAUGUAUUGGCAUUCUGUUUCCUUUUGAGAGUUCCUUUUGACAUCUCAGCGUCUCUUUUCGGUGUUUUGUUUCGGCGUGCGUUAGUCGAGCUACGGGUGCUCUGAUUCUUUCUCUGGAUAGAGAAGAUACGUAGGCAUAGGAUGUGAUGUCCUAGAGAGCAUGUCUCCCUUUUCCCCGAACUACGUUGACUCUGAUGUUUGUUUCUGAUAAACUACGUAGGCCCAGGAUGCGACAUCCUGCCGAGUCCCCUUCCUCCAUCUUCUUUCACCUGUUUUAUCAUUCCAGUUUGUGCAAUUUCUUUGAGCAGUUUAUUAGCAACCUUAUUCUAUUCUUUUUCUAUUCUUUUGAGCAUGGAUCCCGUCGAGUACGACGGACGUGAGGGGUGCUAAUACCUUCCCCUUGCGUAAUCGACUCCCGUACCUUGCAAUCUCUGGUCGUAAGACCGUUCCUUUCCCUUUCUUAGGUUAGUCCUGCGCUUACCUUCCCCUUGCGUAAUCGACUCCCGUACCUUGCAAUCUCUGGUCGUAAGACCGUUCCUUUCCCUUUCUUAGGUUAGUCCUGCGCUUCCUUUCCGUCAUAGGAUGAAUAGCGUCGGUGGCGGCUCUGUAAACUAUUUUUUUCCGCCGAUUGUUUUUCGCGUUGCGACAAUUAGCUUAAGUUUCCUUGGAUGAUCCAAUUGUAACCAUGUGAAGUAUUAUGAUGGAUCAAUGUUGUGAUGCAUUGCUGGUUUAUGUAUUGUAUAAUGCAGGGCUGUAAAGAUGCUUAUAUUGUGGCUAGCCCAAGUUCAACCAAGUUCAUGGCAUGCUGAUUACAAACAUGGAAAACCAAAUCCACAUUGGUAAGUCAAGGUAAAAAUGGACAUGGAGAGUGAAAUUAGAACUUGGGAUUUGGACACUUAUUGACUUAGGAUAACAAAAGGAAUUUGGGUUGACUUUGGUCAAAGUUGACCAAAAAGUUAAUUAUUGACCAAAGUC
rnacentral:lncRNA from 1 species